rnacentral:rRNA from 1 species
CCUACGGGAGGCAGCAGUGGGGAAUCUUGCGCAAUGGGCGAAAGCCUGACGCAGCCAUGCCGCGUGAAUGAUGAAGGUCUUAGGAUUGUAAAAUUCUUUCACCGGGGACGAUAAUGACGGUACCCGGAGAAGAAGCCCCGGCUAACUUCGUGCCAGCAGCCGCGGUAAUACGAAGGGGGCUAGCGUUGCUCGGAAUUACUGGGCGUAAAGGGAGCGUAGGCGGAUAGUUUAGUCAGAGGUGAAAGCCCAGGGCUCAACCUUGGAAUUGCCUUUGAUACUGGCUAUCUUGAGUAUGGGAGAGGUAUGCGGAACUCCGAGUGUAGAGGUGAAAUUCGUAGAUAUUCGGAAGAACACCAGUGGCGAAGGCGGCAUACUGGCCCAUUACUGACGCUGAGGCUCGAAAGCGUGGGGAGCAAACAGGAUUAGAUACCCUGGUAGUCCACGCUGUAAACGAUGAGUGCUAGUUGUCGGCAUGCAUGCAUGUCGGUGACGCAGCUAACGCAUUAAGCACUCCGCCUGGGGAGUACGGUCGCAAGAUUAAAACUCAAAGGAAUUGACGGCUGAGACGNGCGAGACGACGACGAGGGAGGAGG